rnacentral:rRNA from 1 species
AACGAACGCUGGCGGCGCGCCUAAUACAUGCAAGUCGAGCGAGAAGACGUAGCAAUACGUUUGUAAAGCGGCGAACGGGUGAGGAAUACAUGGGUAACCCACCCUCGAGUGGGGAAUAACUAGCCGAAAGGUUAGCUAAUACCGCGUACGCUCCUCGGACUUCGGUUCAGGGAGGAAAGCGAUACCGUGGGUAUCGCGCUCUUGGAUGGGCUCAUGUCCUAUCAGCUUGUUGGUGAGGUAACGGCUCACCAAGGCUUCGACGGGUAGCUGGUCUGAGAGGACGAUCAGCCACACUGGCACUGCGACACGGGCCAGACUCCUACGGGAGGCAGCAGUAAGGAAUAUUGCGCAAUGGGCGAAAGCCUGACGCAGCGACGCCGCGUGGGGGA